CCAAACAUGCAUCCUUUUGAGGGAAGGACUUCAAAAGGCCAUCUGGAGAAAAACAAGAUAAGUUAAAGAUAUGAUUAAUUGCCUUGGCAUGAGAAAACGGACGUCGGUAUGUCUUCAAAGCCGUGUGUGGCUAUAUAAGCGCUCGGAGAUGUGACCCUGCGUUCUUGCUCUUUUUGGAUCUUCGCCCGCGUCUGUCCGCCGUAAGGUCUUGUAUCUUAUCUUGGGACGGUGCUCUUGCUGUUUGCUCUCAGACCAUCUGAUUUUAACUCAUCUUUUAUUUCUCUCUUACUAUUUUUGAAUUAAUCCUUUUUAUUGAAGUAUUUUUGAUUAUAUGGUUUUUGAAGUAUAUGUACUAGUAUCAGCGUCUGGCGAUACCCUUGAGUUUAUGGAUUUUAUUAUUCUUGAUUGACUUUGCUGUUUUUACUAUUCUUUUAUCAAUUUUUGAAGAAAUACUUUUGUGACAAAAAACAUAAUAAAAUUGAGUACGAAUUAAGUACUGAAAAGGCACAACGGCGUUGAUCCCUGACUACUAAAGAAUCAACUGGCUCCUACCUACUACCAUCAAUUGGGUUAUAGAGAGCCGGGACGCUAGGGUCAUUUCAAGGUUCCCCUUCAUGCCUAGGAUGGCAGGAAUCAGGAUGAAGAGCUCUGUGAUUUCCAGGAACACGUCCCAGUUCUUGUGUCUGCGAAUGAUCGAGAAGCAGUUAGCAGUCACGACGGGACUUUGGAACACACAGAUGCUGAACAUGAUGCCUGCUGAACAACUGGCUCUCGUGGUGACUGAGAGACCACAUCUGUACCCAUCACCUGAUUAAUUGGAGGACUCUCAUCAUACUCCAGACGUGACUGAAGAAUGAGGUGUUGUUAUGAUUACAUUACAAAUGUGUUUAAAUCAUGAUCUUAUGUUUCU